UCAAUCUCAGCCCUACGACUCAGAGCUUCAAACAAAUCCAACCUCAGCCUUACGAUUGAAGGCUUCUAAUCGCAUUGGACAACCCUGGCCUAGGGUUUCGAUGAAGCACAGGGCGGUGGCGUUAAUGGGGUUGCAACGGUAGCCCGGUCUUAGAAAGUGAACAGAGAUGAGUUCGGUAUGCAUCUCUGUUUCCACGAUUGCCCGGGUUCACCGUCAUUCCUUUGUUAGUCACUGGUGAUCUGACUCUCGUGGGCCGUGUUCGACAGUCAUUUGUUUACAAAGCAAGAAAGGAAUCCCAUAGCGAUAUAACAAUUACAGGUCAUAGGCUAAGAGUGGGAGGGAAAGGUGACUCGUGCAAUUGGACGCACCGUCAUUCCCCACUUCUGUCGCUCUGAGCAAUUCUCCUUCAACCCCUCCCAGUUAUCUGCGAUUCUACCAAUCGUUCCCAUCUCGCUUCACUGUCAAAUAUGAUCUAAGCUUAGACUUUCAGUUUGUACAAUCCCUUCAAUGUUGAGCUCGGAUCUUCAGGGAAUUUGGGAUUUAGGCUCUGAUUCGAGUCCUCUCUGCUGUCAAGGGCCUUGAAUCAUGUAAGUGAUUUGGAAAUGGAAAUUUCUACUCAAAAACACCUCCGCCGGCCCCUACAUGAUCUACAUGGGUUUAUGAUCUCAAUACUAUCUGAGGAAUCCCUGAUCUAAUUCCAUCGUAAUUCAGUCGGGACCCCGAUAGUGUACAUAACUUUCCUAAGCGACUCUUCCGACCGGUUCAAUUUCUCGUCGCUAAAAUCUAAACUCUGCUUACCGAACUCAUCUCUGUUUGUUAAGAUAAAGGUCAGGGUCAAUCAGGGCGGUGAAUUGAACACUGAACUCUCAUUCUUAAGACAGGAGAAGACAUGUGGGUUUCCGUUAAAACACUUUUGAUGUUUCAAGCUUUUCCCUUCCUCUGCAACUCUCCCUUUAGCCCUUUUUCAUCUUCAUCCUCUGCCUCUGUCAAUCUUCCCUUCUCGUCUGCUCUUUUAUUUAUUUAUUUUUUUUUCUUUCUUCUCUAGCUAUGAACACGACCUUGCAAUAAUUCUGCGGCGGCAGCACUGAUAACUCAUGGAAUUGGCUUAGUAAUCAUUCUUCUACCUCCUCUUCCCCUUCUUCAAUAGGGUUUGUAACUGAUCUGGACUCUUUCUCCUCGGUGCUUUAUUCUAACGGAGAAGAAGGGUUGGAGGAAGAGGAGAGAAGAAGAUAAGAGGGAUUAUGGUGGUUGAGGGUGAAGGAAGAACAAAGAAGAAAAGGGUCAGAGAUGCGUCACCGACAGUUGCAACUCAACGCCAGAGAGUGCACGAACUAAUAAGAUGAGUGUGCUUCGAUUUGGUUCUGUUGUCUUGAAGAAGGACGGCCCUGCAAUCUCACAUCAUAGGGUACUUUAGGGAUUAUAAAAAAGAAGGUAAGGCUAACGUCAUCACUCAGCAGGGACGAUUGAUAGAAUCUUUUGGUGGUUGGACUGGGGAGAGUAUGUUUUUUCAAAAAGUCUGCUGGGGAACAUGAUAUUUAGAUUAAGUAUUGAGAGGAUAGUGAUAAUUCAUUAUAAAAUAAUAAUGAAUCUAGAUGGAUGAGUGAAAUUUACAUCAGUGGUGGGGGAUUCUUAUAAGGUUCAUCAUCUUUUCAGGUCAAGUGUUAUGUAGCUAGUUUAGAAAGUCUUGUAGUCGAGUAAUUAAGAUAUAAAAAUUUUAUCCAAUUUUUGACGAAAUAAUUGAUCCAAGUUACAACCAA